AUUCAGUUGGUGCCACUCAAUUAAUUCCCUGUGAUUCAGUGAAUUCUUUGACUACGUUAUGCUUUUUGGUAAUUGUCUGCAAAUACCCUGUAAAACAUGUAAUUGGAUUUGUUUGUAUAACUCCUUAUGCCAAAAUAUUGCUCCAUGACCUUUUACCAUUGAGAGAGAAUAUUUUUCCUCACCUUGGAAAAAUCUGACUGCUGAAAGUUUUAUGGCACCCUGCAUUCCUUAUUUUCCUGUUUUAAAAAGUAGUACUGGUUAGUGAUACCUAAAUAUAGUAAAGGAUGAGUUAAAUGCACAGGUUCCAACUCUUAAUAGGGUUUAUAGGGCAUCAGGAAGCUCAUAUAAUACUUUCAAAAAUAACUGCUGGGCCUUUCCCAUUCUUAAAAUUGCAUCCAGAUGUGGCUCUCUAAACAUGGCAGUGGCUUCACAUGCUGAUGUCUGAGGAGUGAAGAGGAUGUGUUAAAUCAGAUGAUGGUAGUGAUUUUGACUGUUGUCUCAUCUGUGAAGAUCAUGUCAUUGAACUUCAUGUUGCUUUCAAGCCAUUCUAGGGCUUUGUUUGUCGCAACUGUUAGUACUUAGGACCUCCUGAAGCAAAGGGCAAUGUGUUAAAAGAAUAUUCAUUGUUAUAGUUUUUACAUUAUUAUAUUGUACUUCAUACUUUUUCAUACAUUUAAUUUCAGUACUUGUGCUUUAUGUUAUUACAUUCGACAUCACUGUGUCUUUCUGUAGCACCAGCUGUUCUUUUGAUCAAUUCAGUUAACGUUUCUGGGGGUUAUGCCCACCUCAAACUUUCUCUGUGUAUUCAUUGAUCUUAGGUGAAGCUCACAAUCUUCUUCAAAAUCACUUCUCUUUUUGAAUAUCACUUCAAGAUAAAGAAAAAGAACAAAACUAGACCCAAACUUCCUUUUUAUAGUACCAUUUCUCUGUAUUCACCAUAUGCAUUUCCUUGGAGAUCUCCUCUUAUCCAUUGCACAAAGGUCCAAUGACAAAUAUCUCAAAGGACUGGAACAAGAAAUUUGGAUGCCCAUCCCAGCAAGUGUUCCUCUGUGUAGCAUCUCCUAGAGAAUAGUGCUAAACUUUCAACUAAUCUUGACCAAGUUACAGCUGAUAAAAUUCCUGAUCUUUUUAUGAAAUUUGGUAUACAGCUCUUUUUAAGUAAUCUUUUAAGCAGCUUGUAAGCCAAGAGCCACCAAUUAAUGGUCAAGCCUUGCUACUCCCAAUUGUUCCAACAGUGUUAAAAGGCUGCUUGACUCAUAAGUGGGGACAAAGUCAGUUUCUUGGGCAGUACCGGCUGGCAUUCCAUCGUGAACUAAUUGCAGCAUGUCAAGAUGGAGCAGUCACAGAUUAUCCAAUGAGACAUGAAGGCUCUUCAGUUCCUUAGUGAAGACAGCGUAAUCAUGGAAUUUAUGGAAACGACAUCGGAAGGGUGAUAUUGAGGAAGGUGCCAAAGUAGUACUUCACCACAAAUGUCCAAGAGAUGACAGGCAGUGAUUUGAAGUAAAAGUUCUCAAGAUAGGAGAUUUCCUCUUCUUUCAAGAGCAUUGGAGAUGUUGUGAUGACUUUGAGAUGGGACAAAAAAAGUCAAAAGAAAGCAAAGUAAAAUGAAAAUAUAGCUGAGAGAAUAGAACAAAAUCAGGGCCAUUGUUGGAAACCCAGUCCAGGAAAUCUUGGAGUGCUGGAAGAGGAGAAAAUGUAUCAUGAACACAGGGAUUGGAAGUCUGAGGGCAUGGAAGUUCCUGGAAUAUAUCAAGAACGCCAUCCUCAACCUGGACAAGCUUAAACUACCGUUCUGUGUAGAUGUGUUUGAUUUCCUGGACACCAUCACUGCCAUAUGAGGAUGAGGUGCUCAUCAGUAUACUGACCAAGGAGGUGCAGAGAUAAACCUGAGAAAAUCAGAUUCUACAUGCCCAUUUGGGGAAAGAGCUCAAGAAACUAAGUAGGAAGUUGAAACAAUUGAGUCCAAAGUGUAGGCAUGGGCUCAGGAAUGGUAGCCAGGGGCGAUUACGUUGCAAGAAUUUGCUGUUGGGCUUCCUGCCUGCCUUAUCUUGCAGUGAUGGACUUACCAGGGAUAUCGUGGACUGAAGAUUGAGUGAAUAAGAACAUCAGUGUCUUCAGUGGUUUCUCCUAGAUGUCUGCUCUAUUAGUGCCUGUGCAUAGCAUUCUUCAUCUGUGGCUGCUGAAACUUUUCUGCCCUACGUGUAUUCUCAUCCCCAGUUUUUGAUGAUGAGCUGGAGUUCACUAGUGUAGAGCUGAAUGUUAUUCUUUUGGAAGUCACAAAAAAACACACAAGAUCUUCAGAAACAGCACUGCUGAAGCCUACUGCAAAUAGCCAAGAAAAGCCAGUGUACAGUUGGUCAAUGGAAAAUCUCUACUAUUCGAGAACUUUGUGAGUUGAAGUGGAGCAGAAGGAAAACUAUUUUCAGCCUUAAACAAUGACUAGUAUUUUUAAUCACAGUUAAAAUCAGUGAGGGUGGAACAUUUUCAGCACUCCAUCAAAUCUUAAAAAAUACCCCAAAAAACAAACAAAAAAACCUCACCCCCCCCCAACCACUGCAGCGCAUGGUAAUUGCUUUCCUUUCUAAUUGAAUAAAGUUUUUUGUUGAUUGUGUUACUUUAAUGGAUCAUUAAGAUCUUAUAAUCUUUAAAAUGGUCUUUGCAAAGACAGGUUUGAGAUAAACUUGAGUUUUAACUCUUUGAUAAUUCCACCUCAAGUGACUAUUUUUCUGUGAGAUGGUGGAAUGUCUGUUUAGUAUCCUGUUGGUUCUUAAGGAAAGGUGGAAGUUCUUGGAAUAGGCGAGAGGAGGAGAGGUGCUAUAUGAUCUCAAAAGCAUGAGAUUCUGAAGCUGUUCAGUGGGAGGAAGUGCUCAGCACCUGAUAAUUUGUUAGAGGAGAUAUGGAAAAGCUUGCCAUCCUUUUGCUACUACCCACAGUUCUAGUGAUCAUAGUGCUACUUGGGUCAAGUAUUGUGCGUGAACUCUUGUGAUGGCAGUCAGACCUUGGCACAGAUAAGAUUGUAUUCUUGAAAUCCCUCUAAAGUUAAAGAAAUACAUAGAUACAUAAGUGAAUGAAUCAGAUGCUUUUACUGAAUGUAACCUUUUCAAGCAGUGUUGUAACAGGUAAACUCCAAUACCUAUAAUCAGCUUCCAAGGAGAGUAGAGUUUCACGUUGUUUGAAUUGGAUCUCUUUAUUGGCUUCAUUCAUUUCUAUAAACCUAUGCCCCCAAAACAUGUUCACCUUUGCUGUAAUGUUCUUUGACAGUCCCAUGUUUUUGCCUCUUGACCCAUCACAGUUCACUUUGCUGGCCCAAGAUUUGUACUGUUGGUCUCCACAAAAACAAAUUCUGCUAGUCUUAUGGAGAAACUGAGGGAGAGUUUGACAAUUUCAUUCUCUUCAUUGGUCUGACAGUCUUAAUGCUCUUAUCUAUCUGUGGCCCAUCAGCAGUAGGUCUCCUGCAUACAAGGCCUAUCCUUUGAAUAUUAAUAUUCAUAUUGUCUGAUCCUUCUCGACUUGAGGGUACUAAAUUGUUUUUCUCUGAAAAAUGAUUAUUUAAAAAUGAUAUUAUAGGAUACCAUGUUCAUUAUUUUUUUCAUUUAUUCUCUACCAUCUCUGGAACUCUAAAUCUUACCUGAACAGCAAACUCACCCUGGACUUCUGCAUUACAACUGAAGCCUGAUGGGGUUGUACCAGUGUAAAUGAGGGCAUAAUCUAGUCACUGAAAUAUUUAUUAUUGAUGAUACAUGAGAGAGAGAGAGAGAAUCCAACUCCUCUUUCAGAUGCCAGGUUGAAUUUGCUGUGCUGGCUGUUCGAGAGGGAUAGGGGGAAUCUCUUAUGUGUAAGCUGAGCAAACUUGGAAUGGAAAUUGUUGAGAAAUGUGGAACCUCACAUUAACUCUUUAAGUUACUUUUCUGAGUGGAACUGCAGUUUAAACCUUUCAGAACACUAGGCAAAUUAUUGUAUGAUAUAGCGGAGAGUAUCUUCCAUCUGUCCACUGGAAGAGUGGAAGACACAUCUUCCACUGUCCCCAUGUGUCCUUGCACCCACCUGUCCACAUGUCCCUCCACCUCCACUCAGACAUCCACUUCCCCUGUCCCUAUGUGGCUCUGUACCUGCUCCCCAUCCGCAUGUGUCUCAGUCCCCCACCCAGCCACUCCCUGUCCCUAACUGUCCCUGUACCUCCUCCCCCUGUGUCUCUGUGCUCCCACUCAGCCCCCCUGUGUCCCUGUAUCUCCUCCCCCUUUCCCCAUGUGUCUGUGCCCCCACUUAGCCAUUCUCUGUCCCUAUGUAGCUCUGCACCUCCUUCCUCCCCCCCGCCCCCCGUGGCCCUGCCCCUUCACUCCCAUUCAGCCCC